UACAACUGCAUUUCCUUCUGUUUGGAAUAUUCUCUCCAAUUUUCAUCCAAGCUGCACUUCUACAUUUCUCUGCUUCGAAGUCGUCAUUUUGGGAAAAUACUGCUUUGGUUCUGCUCCAUGCUGUUCCAUAUGGGACUGCACAGGGGAAAUGUGGACCACUAUUUUCUCUGCAAAUCCAUUCACAUUGCCAGCACCUCAAAACUGGGAUAAUGCUACAAUAAAUGUCUUCACAGAAACAGCUUUUUCCCCCCACUUUUGCUGAAUUGUUUUCUUCAAGUAAAUUUUCAAGGAAGUUAAAU